CCUACGGGGGGCAGCAGUGAGGAAUAUUGGUCAAUGGGCGCAAGCCUGAACCAGCCAAGUCGCGUGAGGGAUGACGGUCCUAUGGAUUGUAAACCUCUUUUGUCGGGGAGCAAGGCCCGCCACGUGUGGCGGGAAGGAGAGGACCCGAAGAAAAAGCAGCGGCUAACUCCGUGCCAGCAGCCGCGGUAAUACGGAGGAUGCGAGCGUUAGCCGGAUUUCUUGGGGUUAAAGGGUGCGUAGGCGGAAGGUUAAGUCAGCGGUCAAAUGUCGGGGCUCAACACCGGCCUGCCGUUGAAACUGGUCUUCUUGAGUGAGCGCGCCGUCUGCGGUCUGCGUGUUGUAGCGG
rnacentral:rRNA from 1 species